rnacentral:rRNA from 1 species
CAGUAGCCGCGGUAUACGAAGGGUGCAAGCGUUACUCGGAAUUACUGGGCGUAAAGCGUGCGUAGGUGGUGGUUUAAGUCCGUUGUGAAAGCCCUGGGCUCAACCUGGGAAUUGCAGUGGAUACUGGAUCACUAGAGUGUGGUAGAGGAUAGUGGAAUUUCCGGUGUAGCAGUGAAAUGCGUAGAGAUCGGAAGGAACAUCUGUGGCGAAGGCGACUAUCUGGGCCAACACUGACACUGAGGCACGAAAGCGUGGGGAGCAAACAGGAUUAGAUACCCGCGUAGUCCCUGUCUCUUAUACA